rnacentral:sRNA from 1 species
AUUUAGCCGCGCCUAGGUUUUGUGGCGCCGGCCCUAGGUCCCGGCAGCGGUGGUGACGGUGGUGCCGGAGGUUGUCCUUGGCAGGUUUGCCUCGGCGCUUCUCCAUGGAGGAGGCGGUGCGAACGGCUUCAGCCCCGAAUGCUCGCAUCUCCCACUGGACGGCGACGAAGGCGGUGGCCGUGCGAGCGCAGGACUGGGCGGCCUGUGUGGGGGUGUGAGCCGCGGUGCCCCAGGCUGCGCCGGCGAGGGGAAGCCGCGCGGCCCGCCGACCGACUAGGGUGAGGUCGCCACUCCUUCCUUUCAGGCUGGAGCUACUCGGCCAGGGUUUAAGACUUUAAAUGAGAAUAAAGGGUGGUAUUUACGAGGAAAUGAGAGUGAAUAAGUCAUCUCUAAUCUCUCCCAGCCUUUUUUUCAAAAGAGAGACCAUAUUAAACUUACAUGCUCUCCUGGCUGUGAUUGACCUUCAGUUACAGAGAGAGGGAGCAGAGUGCGACCAGGUCUGAGAAUAGUGAAGCAACUCAUUCCUUUCAGGACAUUCCCUCUGAUGUCCUAUUUUCAAACUGUUUGAAGACUGCUUCAUUCUGCCUCU